rnacentral:rRNA from 1 species
CAGGGAUUGCCCUAGUAACGGCGAGUGAAGCGGCAACAGCUCAAAUUUGAAAUCUGGCUUCGGCCCGAGUUGUAAUUUGCAGAGGAAGCUUUAGGCGCGGCACUUUCUGAGUCCCCUGGAACGGGGCGCCAUAGAGGGUGAGAGCCCCGUAUAGUUAGAUGCCUAGCCUGUGUAAAGCUCCUUCGACGAGUCGAGUAGUUUGGGAAUGCUGCUCAAAAUGGGAGGUAAAUUUCUUCUAAAGCUAAAUACCGGCCAGAGACCGAUAGCGCACAAGUAGAGUGAUCGAAAGAUGAAAAGCACUUUGAAAAGAGGGUUAAAUAGCACGUGAAAUUGUUGAAAGGGAAGCGCUUGUGACCAGACUUGCGCCGGGCAGAUCAUCCGGUGUUCUCACCGGUGCACUCUGCCCGGCUCAGGCCAGCAUCGGUUCUCGCGGGGGGAUAAAGGCCCUGGGAACGUAGCUCCUCCGGGAGUGUUAUAGCCCGGGGCGUAAUGCCCUCGCGGGGACCGAGGUUCGCGCAUCUGCAAGGAUGCUGGCGUAAUGGUCAUCAGCGACCCGUCUUGAAACACGGACCAAGGAGUCAAGGUUUUGCGCGAGUGUUUGGGUGUAAAACCCGCACGCGUAAUGAAAGUGAACGUAGGUGAGAGCUUCGGCGCAUCAUCGACCGAUCCUGAUGUUUUCGGAUGGAUUUGAGUAGGAGCGUUAAGCCUUGGACCCGAAAGAUGGUGAACUAUGCUUGGAUAGGGUGAAGCCAGAGGAAACUCUGGUGGAGGCUCGCAGCGGUUCUGACGUGCAAAUCGAUCGUCAAAUCUGAGCAUGGGGGCGAAAGACUAAUCG